UGGCAGUCAGAGGCGAUGAAGGGCGUGCUAAUCUGCGAUAAGCGCCGGUAAGGUGAUAUGAACCGUUAUAACCGGCGAUACCCGAAUGGGGAAACCCAGUGUGAUUCGUCACACUAUCAUUAACUGAAUCCAUAGGUUAAUGAGGCGAACCGGGGGAACUGAAACAUCUAAGUACCCCGAGGAAAAGAAAUCAACCGAGAUUCCCCCAGUAGCGGCGAGCGAACGGGGAGGAGCCCAGAGCCUGAAUCAGCAUGUGUGUUAGUGGAAGCGUCUGGAAAGUCGCGCGAUACAGGGUGACAGCCCCGUACACAAAAGCGCAUGUGUUGUGAGCUCGAUGAGUAGGGCGGGACACGUGGUAUCCUGUCUGAAUAUGGGGGGACCAUCCUCCAAGGCUAAAUACUCCUGACUGACCGAUAGUGAACCAGUACCGUGAGGGAAAGGCGAAAAGAACCCCGGCGAGGGGAGUGAAAAAGAACCUGAAACCGUGUACGUACAAGCAGUGGGAGCACAGGUUUACCUGUGUGACUGCGUACCUUUUGUAUAAUGGGUCAGCGACUUAUAUUCUGUAGCAAGGUUAACCGUAUAGGGGAGCCGGAGGGAAACCGAGUCUUAAUUGGGCGUUAAGUUGCAGGGUAUAGACCCGAAACCCGGUGAUCUAGCCAUGGGCAGGUUGAAGGUUGGGUAACACUAACUGGAGGACCGAACCGACUAAUGUUGAAAAAUUAGCGGAUGACCUGUGGCUGGGGGUGAAAGGCCAAUCAAACCGGGAGAUAGCUGGUUCUCCCCGAAAGCUAUUUAGGUAGCGCCUCGUGAAUUCAUCUCCGGGGGUAGAGCACUGUUUCGGCUAGGGGGCCAUCCCGGCUUACCAACCCGAUGCAAACUGCGAAUACCGGAGAAUGUUAUCACGGGAGACACACGGCGGGUGCUAACGUCCGUCGUGAAGAGGGAAACAACCCAGACCGCCAGCUAAGGUCCCAAAGUCAUGGUUAAGUGGGAAACGAUGUGGGAAGGCCCAGACAGCCAGGAUGUUGGCUUAGAAGCAGCCAUCAUUUAAAGAAAGCGUAAUAGCUCACUGGUCGAGUCGGCCUGCGCGGAAGAUGUAACGGGGCUAAACCAUGCACCGAAGCUGCGGCAGCGACACUGUGUGUUGUUGGGUAGGGGAGCGUUCUGUAAGCCUGUGAAGGUGUGUCGUGAGGCAUGCUGGAGGUAUCAGAAGUGCGAAUGCUGACAUAAGUAACGAUAAAGCGGGUGAAAAGCCCGCUCGCCGGAAGACCAAGGGUUCCUGUCCAACGUUAAUCGGGGCAGGGUGAGUCGACCCCUAAGGCGAGGCCGAAAGGCGUAGUCGAUGGGAAACGGGUUAAUAUUCCCGUACUUGGUGUUACUGCGAAGGGGGGACGGAGAAGGCUAUGUUGGCCGGGCGACGGUUGUCCCGGUUUAAGCGUGUAGGUGUGUGUUCCAGGUAAAUCCGGUUCACUUUAACACUGAGGCGUGACGACGAGGCACUACGGUGCUGAAGCAACAAAUGCCCUGCUUCCAGGAAAAGCCUCUAAGCAUCAGGUAACAUCAAAUCGUACCCCAAACCGACACAGGUGGUCAGGUAGAGAAUACCAAGGCGCUUGAGAGAACUCGGGUGAAGGAACUAGGCAAAAUGGUGCCGUAACUUCGGGAGAAGGCACGCUGACACGUAGGUGAAGUGAUUUACUCAUGGAGCUGAAGUCAGUCGAAGAUACCAGCUGGCUGCAACUGUUUAUUAAAAACACAGCACUGUGCAAACACGAAAGUGGACGUAUACGGUGUGACGCCUGCCCGGUGCCGGAAGGUUAAUUGAUGGGGUCAGCGCAAGCGAAGCUCCUGAUCGAAGCCCCGGUAAACGGCGGCCGUAACUAUAACGGUCCUAAGGUAGCGAAAUUCCUUGUCGGGUAAGUUCCGACCUGCACGAAUGGCGUAAUGAUGGCCAGGCUGUCUCCACCCGAGACUCAGUGAAAUUGAACUCGCUGUGAAGAUGCAGUGUACCCGCGGCAAGACGGAAAGACCCCGUGAACCUUUACUAUAGCUUGACACUGAACAUUGAGCCUUGAUGUGUAGGAUAGGUGGGAGGCUUUGAAGCGUGGACGCCAGUCUGCGUGGAGCCGACCUUGAAAUACCACCCUUUAAUGUUUGAUGUUCUAACGUGGACCCGUGAUCCGGGUUGCGGACAGUGUCUGGUGGGUAGUUUGACUGGGGCGGUCUCCUCCUAAAGAGUAACGGAGGAGCACGAAGGUUGGCUAAUCCUGGUCGGACAUCAGGAGGUUAGUGCAAUGGCAUAAGCCAGCUUGACUGCGAGCGUGACGGCGCGAGCAGGUGCGAAAGCAGGUCAUAGUGAUCCGGUGGUUCUGAAUGGAAGGGCCAUCGCUCAACGGAUAAAAGGUACUCCGGGGAUAACAGGCUGAUACCGCCCAAGAGUUCAUAUCGACGGCGGUGUUUGGCACCUCGAUGUCGGCUCAUCACAUCCUGGGGCUGAAGUAGGUCCCAAGGGUAUGGCUGUUCGCCAUUUAAAGUGGUACGCGAGCUGGGUUUAGAACGUCGUGAGACAGUUCGGUCCCUAUCUGCCGUGGGCGCUGGAGAACUGAGGGGGGCUGCUCCUAGUACGAGAGGACCGGAGUGGACGCAUCACUGGUGUUCGGGUUGUCAUGCCAAUGGCACUGCCCGGUAGCUAAAUGCGGAAGAGAUAAGUGCUGAAAGCAUCUAAGCACGAAACUUGCCCCGAGAUGAGUUCUCCCUGAGACUUAGAGUCUCCUGAAGGAACGUUGAAGACGACGACGUUGAUAGGCCGGGUGUGUAAGCGCAGCGAUGCGUUGAGCUAACCGGUACUAAUGAACCGUGAGGCUUAACCUU
rnacentral:rRNA from 1 species